UGGGAACGCGAAGAACCUUACCAGGUCUUGACAUCCAAAGAAUUCCUACGAAAGUAGGGAGUGCCUUCGGGAGCUUUGAGACAGGUGGUGCAUGGUUGUCGUCAGCUCGUGUCGUGAGAUGUUGGGUUAAGUCCCACAACGAGCGCAACCCUUGCUAUUAGUUGCUAACAGGUAGAGCUGAGCACUCUAAUGGGACUGCCCGUGACAAGCGGGAGGAAGGUGGGGAUGACGUCAAAUCAUCAUGCCCUUUAUGAUCUGGGCUACACACGUGCUACAAUGGAUGGUACAAAGAGAAGCAAGCCCGCGAGGUGGAGCGAAUCUCAAAAAGCCAUUCUCAGUUCGGAUUGGAGUCUGCAACUCGACUCCAUGAAGUCGGAAUCGCUAGUAAUUGCGAAUCAGCACGUCGCAGUGAAUGCGUUCCCGGGUCUUGUACACACCG
rnacentral:rRNA from 1 species